rnacentral:rRNA from 1 species
CCGCUCGUCUAGGAAAAGCAGGGGCCUUCGGCCCUGCGUAUCGAUGAGCCUGGAUUAGCUAGUUGGGAGGUAAUGGUCCAAGGCGCGAUCCGUAAUGGUCUGAGAGGAGUCAGUCACACUGGAAUAGACACGGUCCGUUGGCAGCAUGGGCAAUGGAAAGCCUGAUCCAGCCAGCCGCGUGUGUGAAGAAGGUUUCGGAUUGUAAAGCACUUAAGUUGGGAGGAAGGGUUGUAGAUUAAACUCGCAAUUUUGACGUUACCGACAGAAUAAGCCCGGUAACUCUGUGCCAGCAGCCGCGGCAGAGCAAGCUUAAUGAAUUACUGGGCGUAAAGCGGCGUAGGUGGUUUGUUAAGUUGGAUGUGAAAUCCCCGGGUCAACCUGGAAUGACUAGAGUAUGGUAGAGGGGGUGGAGAUAUAGGAAGGAACAC